rnacentral:rRNA from 1 species
GAUGAACGCUGGCGGCGUGCCUAACACAUGCAAGUCGAGCGAUUCUCUUUGGAGAAGAGCGGCGGACGGGUGAGUAACGCGUGGGUAACCUGCCCUGUACACACGGAUAACAUACCGAAAGGUAUGCUAAUACGAGAUAAUAUACUUUUAUCGCAUGGUAGAAGUAUCAAGGCUUUUGCGGUACAGGAUGGACCCGCGUCUGAUUAGCUAGUUGGUAAGGUAACGGCUUACCAAGGCGACGAUCAGUAGCCGACCUGAGAGGGUGAUCGGCCACAUUGGAACUGAGACACGGGUCCAAACUCCUACGGGAGGCAGCAGUGGGGAAUAUUGCACGAUGGGGGAAACCCUGAUGCAGCGACGCCGCGUGAGCGAAGAAGUAUUUCGGUAUGUAAAGCUCUAUCAGCAGGGAAGAUAAUGACGGUACCUGACUAAGAAGCU